rnacentral:rRNA from 1 species
UACGGGGGGGGCAAGCGUUGUUCGGAAUUACUGGGCGUAAAGGGCGCGUAGGCGGCCUGUUAAGUCGAACGUGAAAUCCCCGGGCUCAACCCGGGAACUGCGUCCGAUACUGGCAGGCUUGAAUCCGGGAGAGGGAUGCGGAAUUCCAGGUGUAGCGGUGAAAUGCGUAGAUAUCUGGAGGAACACCGGUGGCGAAGGCGGCAUCCUGGACCGGUAUUGACGCUGAGGCGCGAAAGCCAGGGGAGCAAACGGG